rnacentral:rRNA from 1 species
GUGCCAGCCGCCGCGGUAAUACGUAGGGGGCAAGCGUUACUCGGAAUUACUGGGCGUAAAGCGUGCGUAGGCGGAUGUUUAAGUCAGUCGUGAAGUCCCUGGGCUCAACCUGGGAAUGGCAAUGGAAACUGGACGACUAGAGUGUGGCAGAGGGUAGUAGAAUUCCUAGUGUAGCGGUGAAAUGCGUAGAGAUCAGGAGGAACACCCGUGGCGAAGGCGGCUGCCUGGA